UACGAAGGGGGCUAGCGUUGCUCGGAAUCACUGGGCGUAAAGCGCACGUAGGCGGCUUUUUAAGUCAGGGGUGAAAUCCUGGAGCUCAACUCCAGAACUGCCUUUGAUACUGAGAAGCUUGAGUCCGGGAGAGGUGAGUGGAACUGCGAGUGUAGAGGUGAAAUUCGUAGAUAUUCGCAAGAACACCAGUGGCGAAGGCGGCUCACUGGCCCGGUACUGACGCUGAGGUGCGAAAGCGUGGAGAGCAAACAGG
rnacentral:rRNA from 1 species